AGUGUCUUACCAACUAGACCACCGAGAUUGCCCGGUUUGUUUCUGUAGUUUAUUGUUUUAGGAGAUAUUGUCUGGCUUGAUGGAAAUGGGUAAACAUUUUGGGUGUCUGAAGGACCACUUGGUGUCUGUGGGUGUUUGGAAAUGGUUGUAGAAUUCAUUGAGGUGUAUUGGCUGAACCAAAGGAGAUGGUAUUCGCAGGUGCCUGCAGGAAUCAAAGAUAGUGUUUUGAGGAUUGCCUACGUAACAUCCUGGAAGCCGUGGACCAUCUUCUGACAAAGAGGGCAGUAACACUCGGGUGUAUUGAGCCAGGUGAGAUGGAGUCCAGCUUCGUUGAUGAUGGGGGCUCCCAUAGCUCCUCACCCCCAUGCACACCAGAGGAAAUCCUCAUUCCAUUCCAUGCCCUCCAUGGACAUGAACAACGACUCUUCAGCUCUCCAGAUGAUCUCUACACAUGCCGGAAUAAGUCAUCAGAGUUCAACGAGGAACCAAGUCAAAUGAGCAGGGAACAGAUGCUGCAGUCCAAACAAAAGUCUAAAGGAGUCGGUAAAAGAUCCGAUGCAUGCUUACAAACCGUUCUAGGACUCCUCGACUGAUAGGAAAGAUCUAAAUUCGGGGAAAGGGUUCCGCCACCUCCCUCCAUGUUUGCCAGCGAGCUGAAUUGUCUCUCGGGUGGGUGGCCGACGAGGGGGGAAACCGGGCCGGAUAUCUACGAGACGGGUGCGGGGACAGCGGGGAGAACACCUGUUUCUCAUUGGAGAUUCCGCGAGUGAGUCUCGUCGGUGGGGAUAUCGUUGACGAAGAUGAGGAGUCCGUCCCCCACUGUGAGUUCUCGUCUAGAUUCUCGCUGCUGUGUCGCCCGCGUUUGUUCUUUGCACCAGCUGUAACGACAACGCUGCCCCGGUCUGGCUGCGACGACACUGGAGUGCUCAGCCGGUCCUCACAACCUGUCCUUGCAAUAAUUUGGGGCUGCUCGGGAAGCGGCUGUCGAUGAUGGGUGCCGCUCGAGGCAAAGACAUAGACCUUGCCAGGAAUUGAAUAUCAUAACGCGCCCAAAUUCACUAAGCAGAACUGGGCAACUGAGUCGUACUGCAUUUGUACUGCUUUACGACCAGAUUCCCAGAUAGCUUAUUGCUUAGCAGAGAAAGUUGUCCAGAGGCAGCUUCAUCACCUGAAACAUCUUUGUACCUGAUUUUUGCUGUUUUAUAGUAAUCAUCGUUGAUGUUGUAAAAAAUGGGAAGCAGUCGCCACCACUGCUGAUGCCAAAUCUUCAAAAUUUAAAUUAUUGUGUAAUUAUAAAUGGCCAAGCGAGGGAGACAUUUCUAGGAAAUUUUGUGAAUUUAUUUGUAAUGUCUGGUACCUGGUAGAUUACAAAUGAACACUCGGUUUGAAAUUCCUCAGAAUAUUGCUGCAUAAUGUAGAGCAAGUUUUGAAAUACCCAAAACACGAGGGUACCGAAGUACAUGUAUGACCAAUUUGAAGGUUGCAAAACACUACUGAAUAUGUGUCUGUAAUAUUAGGACCAAUGGGAGACUUAAG